CCAUAUUUCUCGAGAACAAUAGCAUUCAAAUUACAUAAGCACAUGGAUACGCGUAAUUUUCUUCUUUAACUUGUUUUUUUAUUCGGAAAAAAAUAAUUGUGGAAUCUGCAGGAUGUGGGGGACACUACUAGCUGACUUGGUUAUUCAGAUGCUCGAGACAGACUAUGCUAGAAUCUUACGAGCAAUUUACGCAUUUGCACAGGUACUUCUCUUUACACCGAAGUCUGCAUUUUUUGUUUUGGCACAAUAUACAUGAUUUCUAUAUGGUUGUUGCACAAACACAAAGAGGGGUUAAAAAAGGAUUGUUUUGUUUUCCAGAUUCGGAUCACGAGGACAUACAGGCUACCUUGUAAAUGAAGUAACAGUAUGCUUUUCUCAAGAUUCUCAAUCUCAGUGUCCUCACGAGUUAUGUCGGUAAAUAAUGAUUAUCACGCUGUAUCAUACUCGCUUGUGGUUGAAACGAAAUUAGACGCUACUCGAAUAGAAUAGAUG
rnacentral:lncRNA from 1 species